GCCCGCCUAGCUCAAUCGGAUAGAGCGUCAGACUCUUACAAAGGCGGGUUGUCAGGUGAUCUGAAGGCUGCGAGUUCGACCCUCGCGGUGGGCU